UACGGAGGAUGCAAGCGUUAUCCGGAAUGAUUGGGCGUAAAGCGUCCGCAGGUGGCUAUGUAAGUCUGCUGUUAAAGAGUGAGGCUCAACCUCAUAAAAGCAGUGGAAACUACAUGGCUAGAGUGCGUUCGGGGCAGAGGGAAUUCCUGGUGUAGCGGUGAAAUGCGUAGAGAUCGGCAGGAAUACCGGUGGCGAAGGCGGCAUCCUGGACCGGCAUUGACGCUGAGGAGCGAAAGCCAGGGGAGCAAACGGG
rnacentral:rRNA from 1 species